AAAAGAACAAAAUGAUGACAAGUUAAUACAAAGCCUUUGUGGUCUGGUUAAAAAAACGCCUGGGGGUUUGGGCCCAUGGUCUGUCUAUUGACUUUCCCCCUUGUUGGGUUUUUUUCAUGCUGGUGAUAAAAUUGAGCCCUUGCCUGGUGAUAGUUCUCCUGUUUUUAGUCCAGCUGUGAUGCUCAUUCCCCUU